rnacentral:rRNA from 1 species
CCUACGGGGGGCAGCAGUGGGGAAUAUUGGGCAAUGGAGGAAACUCUGACCCAGCACCGCCGCGUGAAUGAUGCAGGUCUUCGGAUUGUAAAGUUCUUUUCUCAGGGACGAAGAACGUGACGGUACCUUAGGAAUAAGCCUCUGCUAACUACGUGCCAGCAGCCGCGGUAAUACGUAAGAUGCAAGCGUUAUCCGGCAUGACUGGGCGUAAAGGGUGAGUAGGUGGUUUGACAAGUUAGUAGCGUAACUCCGGGGCUCAACCUCGGCAUUACUACCAAAACUGUCGUACUUGAGUGCAGGAGGAGCAAAUGGAAUUCCUAGUGUAGCGGUGGAAUGCGUAGAUAUUAGGAGGAACACCAGUGGCGAAGGCGAUGUGCUGGACUGUAACUGACACUGAGGCACGAAAGCGUGGGGAGCAAACAGGAUUAGAGACCCCGGUAGUC